GAGUUUGAAUGAAAGCAUGUUUGCAGCAUUGUGUUUGGCAUCCCGCUUUACAUCGUUUUACCAAUCCUUCACGUUUUUGCUAUACGCUCUUCAAAUCUUUGUCUUCUUGCCCAUUCUCCUGUGGACAGUGCGGAAAAUUUCUGCCGCGCAUCACUUAUUCAUCUCCUUCGCUCAAUUUCUUUUUGCUUAUUAUUGGCUCUUCGUUAUAUCCAAAAUGUUUUCGCUAAUAUUUUUAAUGUCGAUUUUCGUGAUAACAUUUGUGUCACCGCUUUGGCUAAUGUGGUUUGAAAACUAUAAAAGGGAGUUUAGGGGACCUUGGGACGUGCCAAGUGUAAGAGUGAAAGAUGAAGAUUGACGAAUGUUGUUGUAAUAGUUGGAAUUUAAAUUUUACCCUCAUUAACAAAAUAAGUACACUUGGUUUCACGGAAGAAGAAUUUAAU